rnacentral:lncRNA from 1 species
AUGAAAAGCAGCCUCCAGGAGGACUGCAGCUGUCACUGUCAUCAAGACUGUGAAGUUUCAUUACUUACUGCGUUUCCCAGACAUGAGACACCACACCUGGAAUUUUCAAUUUUGGUCUUUUCUCAAUGUCGCGCGCACCUCGCCAGCAAGGAGCACGCAACACUCAGGAUUCUUCUGAUGCACACUUUAUUGGAGUUUCUUCUACAUUCUUCAAGAUGGCGGAAAGACCCCGAGCCGGAUGCGAGCCUGCCUUUUAUAGCCUCCCGGGUGACGUAGCCCAUUUCUAUUGGUCAAUGCCGGCCUUCAUCAUUCUGACGAACCAAGCGCCUCAUCUGCGCAGGCGUGAACCACCGUCACCGGCGGACUCAUAUCCGGAAUUCAUGCAGGGCAUGAAGAACCCGGAAAUAAUGGCGCGUGACAUCCAAGAUAUCAAUAUGUGGUGA